rnacentral:misc_RNA from 1 species
GUACAUUAGUGCUUGCGCACGACAAUAGAUUUCAUUACAUUCGAGUGUGUGUAAAAUUCCUCUGCCGGCCGAGGCGAGCAAGAGGCCAAAGGUUCACAGGGGAUUGGAUGAAAGCCACCGACGUGCACUUGCCAGUUGGCCAGCACAGAAGGCAACCAUUCGUAAUCAUUAAUGAUCCUUCCGCAGGUUCACCUACGGAAA